rnacentral:rRNA from 1 species
UACGUAGGGGGCAAGCGUUGUCCGGAAUUAUUGGGCGUAAAGAGCGCGUAGGCGGUCCGAUAAGUCGGCUGUGAAAGUCCAGGGCUCAACCCUGGAAAGCCGGCCGAUACUGUCGGACUAGAGUACAGAAGGGGCAACUGGAAUUCUCGGUGUAGCGGUGAAAUGCGUAGAUAUCGAGAGGAACACCUGCGGCGAAGGCGGGUUGCUGGGCUGAUACUGACGCUGAGGCGCGAAAGCCAGGGGAGCGAACGGG